GCGGGCGCGGGGGGCGGGGCCGCUCCGAGGGGCGCUGGGGCGGGACGGAUAUUGGGGUUGAGUUUCCUGGGUCAGGCGCUGCUGAUUCAGAAAAGGAUUAGACAUUUAUAUGGACAAUAUCAUCUUAACUUCGCUGGUAUACAAAACGUAGAAGUGAUAUAAAUCUUCAUGCUUCAGGAUAUAAGCCUACCACUAACUGAUGGGGGUCAGGAAGAAACUUCUCCUAUGGGCAGAUCACUUCUUCAGAUAAAGAAUAUUUCUUCUCCCAACCUGCCCUGCCUCACAUGUACAGUACCCCGCAGCAAGAAGAGAACAUGAGAAGAAUGGAACAUGACAACAGGGAAGAUGACGACAGCGGAGACACCUCCAAAGAAAUGCCCUAGAGCCCUUGGGCCGUCACGCUUCAGGAAUGUGCGUGAGGUACUAGGAGACCUGGAGAUGGGGGGUGUCCUGCUGGC